UCUAAGUUUUCCAUGUUACUGUCUCAAAGUUAUUGGUUCGCAAUGUGAACUAACACAGUACAUGAUGUCUAAGUUUUCCAUGUUACUGUCUCAAAGUUAUUGGUUCGCAAUGUGAACUAACACAGUACAUGAUGUCUAAGUUUUCCAUGUUACUGUCUCAAAGUUAUUGGUUCUCAGUGUGAACUAACA